UUGUUUCGUCGCAGCACGCUU
rnacentral:piRNA from 1 species